GAGUCUCCAUCUGGAAAGCAGAGGAAGUGAUGCUUAACACAGGCACAGGGGAGGUAUCAGUCGGUGAGCAAGCGUUUCUUGGGCCCCUACCAGGUGCUUAGCCCUGUGCCUCAAGCCAUCCUAUGAAAGAGCAGAGCUGUGGUGCAGGCCCAGG